GAUGAACGCUGGCGGCGUGCCUAAUACAUGCAAGUCGAGCGAACGGACGAGAAGCUUGCUUCUCUGAUGUUAGCGGCGGACGGGUGAGUAACACGUGGAUAACCUACCUAUAAGACUGGGAUAACUUCGGGAAACCGGAGCUAAUACCGGAUAAUAUUUUGAACCGCAUGGUUCAAAAGUAAAAGACGGUCUUGCUGUCACUUAUAGAUGGAUCCGCGCUGCAUUAGCUAGUUGGUAAGGUAACGGCUUACCAAGGCAACGAUGCAUAGCCGACCUGAGAGGGUGAUCGGCCACACUGGAACUGAGACACGGUCCAGACUCCUACGGGAGGCAGCAGUAGGGAAUCUUCCGCAAUGGGCGAAAGCCUGACGGAGCAACGCCGCGUGAGUGAUGAAGGUCUUCAGAUCGUAAAACUCUGUUAUUAGGGAAGAACAUAUGUGUAAGUAACUGUGCACAUCUUGACGGUACCUAAUCAGAAAGCCACGGCUAACUACGUGCCAGCAGCCGCGGUAAUACGUAGGUGGCAAGCGUUAUCCGGAAUUAUUGGGCGUAAAGCGCGCGUAGGCGGUUUUUUAAGUCUGAUGUGAAAGCCCACGGCUCAACCGUGGAGGGUCAUUGGAAACUGGAAAACUUGAGUGCAGAAGAGGAAAGUGGAAUUCCAUGUGUAGCGGUGAAAUGCGCAGAGAUAUGGAGGAACACCAGUGGCGAAGGCGACUUUCUGGUCUGUAACUGACGCUGAUGUGCGAAAGCGUGGGGAUCAAACAGGAUUAGAUACCCUGGUAGUCCACGCCGUAAACGAUGAGUGCUAAGUGUUAGGGGGUUUCCGCCCCUUAGUGCUGCAGCUAACGCAUUAAGCACUCCGCCUGGGGAGUACGACCGCAAGGUUGAAACUCAAAGGAAUUGACGGGGACCCGCACAAGCGGUGGAGCAUGUGGUUUAAUUCGAAGCAACGCGAAGAACCUUACCAAAUCUUGACAUCCUUUGACAACUCUAGAGAUAGAGCCUUCCCCUUCGGGGGACAAAGUGACAGGUGGUGCAUGGUUGUCGUCAGCUCGUGUCGUGAGAUGUUGGGUUAAGUCCCGCAACGAGCGCAACCCUUAAGCUUAGUUGCCAUCAUUCAGUUGGGCACUCUAAGUUGACUGCCGGUGACAAACCGGAGGAAGGUGGGGAUGACGUCAAAUCAUCAUGCCCCUUAUGAUUUGGGCUACACACGUGCUACAAUGGACAAUACAAAGGACAGCGAAACCGCGAGGUCAAGCAAAUCCCAUAAAGUUGUUCUCAGUUCGGAUUGUAGUCUGCAACUCGACUACAUGAAGCUGGAAUCGCUAGUAAUCGUAGAUCAGCAUGCUACGGUGAAUACGUUCCCGGGUCU
rnacentral:rRNA from 1 species